GGGAGCUUGGCUCAGUUGGAAGAGCGCAGGUCUCAUAUGAAAUUGUGUCGCAAUGACAAAAGAGAAAUAUGAUCUGGUUGGUUCAAACAAUCAGAGCUAUCCUGAGGUCGUGAGUUCGAGCCUCACAGUUCCCA